ensembl:miRNA
UGUUUUGGUUUUUCAAGACAGGGCUUAUCUGCGUAGCCUGAGCUGUCCUGGAACUUGUUCUGUAGACUAGGCUGUCCUCAAACUUACAGAGAUCUACCUGCCUC